ACAACCGGAAGCAAAACAGCACGGGUUGGGCGGGAGGCGCCUGCGCGGUGCUUGCAGCGCCCUCUGGCGGCGGGAGGCCGGCCGAACCUCGCUGCCGCCGACCUGACUGGCACGUGCCCUCUGCAGGCACAAGACACUCCAGAUCUGGACAGUGGGGUCCCGCGAGGCUGGCUUGUCGUCUUCUGACGCGACUCCAUCGUGAGCGAAGCUUGUCCUUACUUUUCGAAGCCACCGAGUGUGGAGGUUGUUUGGAUUGGAGACGCAGGCUCUGGCUUGACCACCCUGGAGGCGGUUUUCUUUGACGAAGAAGCUCGCCCGUGGGGGGUCCCGGGGUCCCGGCGCAGGGGGACCGCCUCUGCCCAGGUCCUGCAGACCUCCCCGCCCAGGACCCGCCACCGCGUGCUGCCUGCAGGACCCCCGGAAACACACGCCCCUCUUCUCUCUCAAAACCUCCCAGCUCCACCCCUUCCUCCGAGGAGCCCUCCGGGUUCCCUCCCCCGGCAGGCCGUGCUGCUCUUCUGCUACUGCGUCGGCCACAGAAGCUGCACCCCGGACUCCGCCGCGCCCGUUUUACAGUUGGGGAAACUGAGGCCAGGACUGUGCAGUGAGGAGUGCCCGGGUCACACCUGCACCCUCCACCUCGUCCCAGCCGCCCAGGGUCCGGCUCUUCCUGCCUUCGGGGAGCUGAUGUGGGAGAACCUCGGAGCUGCUCUCAGAAACCAAACGUUCUAGAAGACGCUGAGGUCCAGAUAGGGGAAAUUGGACGCGAGGAACCAAAUCGUUCACAACCUGAGGGGCCGGCAGCCCCAGCUUUCCUCUGAGGAGGCCCCUUGCACAUCCGAGGGGACGUCGGGGCAGGGGUGGGGGAUCGACCGUGGAGCGAUGGGCCGGUGUUGAGGCGGUCAGCAAACACCCGUGUGCCCGAUUAGCCCCCAAGGCCUGGCACGCCCAGUGAGAACGAGGUCGCUCAGGAAGAGGCCCAUUUCUCCAGGCGGCUUCCUGAAUGCCAAGCCACGCUGCGGCGCUAACCGUGGACCACAGGCCCACAAACUUCCUGGCACUUUCUCCUGUUUCCUAGAAUCCCCCCCGCAAGGCAACUGAGGCUCUUGAACACCCCUCAGCAGGUGCAGCCGUGCCCACCAGAGGCCUGUGGUCGCCCCCAGAGCCCUGGCGAGUUUCCUCCGCUCCUCGUCCGGAACUCAGACGUGCAGCCUCGUUGAGGCAGCUCGCUUUUUCUGCAAGACGGACCCAGGACCGGUCAAGGGGCUCGGCCUCCCAUCCUAGUGCUGGGGAGGCGGGGGGGGGGGGGGGGUGGCGCUGGUGGGCUGGCGGACCACGUGACUUGGGAGGCGCCAGACAUCCCUACCUAACAGAAGUAAAUAAAACCAACGGAUGGCCAAAGCC